GGGCACUUAGUUCAGUGGUAGAACGUUGCAUUCACAUUGCAAAGGUCGGAGGUUCAAAUCCUCCAGUGCCCA
rnacentral:tRNA from 1 species